rnacentral:rRNA from 1 species
AUGCUCGGCCCCUCCUCCGCGGCCGGCGCUCUCCCAGCAUGUGGUCGACACCCAUCCUCCUCCGCGACCAGCGCCCUCGCUCCCCGCGGCUGGCGCGCUCCUUCCCUGCGGCUGACGGGCCUCCAGCUCCGUGGCCGGCGCGGUCCCUCCUCGCUGCAGCUUGCCCCUCCUCCAUGGAUGGCCUGCACCGGCUGCCGGAACUCGUUGAGGUGGUACCCUUCAUCCUCGACCUUCAAUUACAGGUUACCAACGACGCUACAAAGAGAAAGCGUAUUGCUGCUGGAGCUGGUGUCCGUGCAAGAGUCUGCUUCAGGGACUCCUUCCUCGUUGACACCGGCGGAGGCGCUCACGAAACUGGCGCUGCAGUGCAUGACCAAUGACCGUGCGGCUCCUAACAUGUCUUCAGUUGCCGCCAAGGUCUACAAUCUCUUCCUAGAGGUGUAG